rnacentral:lncRNA from 1 species
GGCAAUGUUUAAUAGAAGAACUUGGACAAAUAGUCAAAUAGUUAUAUUUAUGUUUUUUUUCUUUUUUUAUAUAAUGGUAAUGUUACAUUAUGGAGAUAAGCCGUUUUUUUAGUGAAAAUUGUAAGCUUACAUAUGUUUAAUGUAGUUUUUCUAUUUUUUUUAUGUUGUGUGUUUACAUAUUAUUGUUAUUUUUAAAUGUAAAAUGGUAAUC